GUUGACCUUACAGCAAUUCUUCUAAGAAACCCCCCGUCAACUG
rnacentral:other from 1 species